AUGGUCAUCGGUUCGACUCCGAUAGGGGGCC
rnacentral:tRNA from 1 species